rnacentral:tRNA from 6 species
GGGCGGUUAGCUCAGUUGGUUAGAGCAUUACGUUGACAUCGUAAAGGUCGGAAGUUCGAGUCUUCUACCGCCCACCA